CCUACGGGAGGCAGCAGUGGGGAAUUUUGGACAAUGGGGGCAACCCUGAUCCAGCCAUGCCGCGUGAGUGAAGAAGGCCUUCGGGUUGUAAAGCUCUUUCGGCCGGAACGAAAUCGCGCACGUGAAUAACGUGCGUGGAUGACGGUACCGGAGUAAGAAGCACCGGCUAACUACGUGCCAGCAGCCGCGGUAAUACGUAGGGUGCGAGCGUUAAUCGGAAUUACUGGGCGUAAAGCGUGCGCAGGCGGUUCGCUAAGUCAGACGUGAAAGCCCCGGGCUUAACCUGGGAACGGCGUUUGAAACUGGCGGGCUCGAGUACGGCAGAGGGGGGUGGAAUUCCACGUGUAGCAGUGAAAUGCGUAGAUAUGUGGAGGAACACCGAUGGCGAAGGCAGCCCCCUGGGCCGAUACUGACGCUCAUGCACGAAAGCGUGGGGAGCAAACAGGAUUAGAUACCCUGGUAGUCCACGCCCUAAACUAUGUCAACUAGUUGUCGGGGAAGCAAUUCCUUGGUAACGCAGCUACGACGUGUAGUGUACCGCCGNGGGAGGUACGGUCGCGAGAGUAAACGUACUAAUAGUAGUUAGACGUCGUUGAGACGUUGCGACGGCGACGACGAGGGAGGAGG
rnacentral:rRNA from 1 species